CCGCGCCCGUUUUCAUACCUGUUAGUCCAGUACGUGUAAACUCCAAAACCUCUGAGAGCUCAACACAAUCAGAUCUGCUGAUAACUUCCAGCUAACGCGCUGCACCUGAGAAAAUGAAAGCCCAGGUUCUGUUGCUGCUCCUUGUUCUUGUCAGAGUUGAGUUGAUGUCCAUCCGUUCCCAUGGGGACUCACCAGUUGUUCCAGAAGACGUGGCCCUUGCAGAAAUGAGAGGGGAACAGAGAGAAGUAAAGGCUGCCCCCCCUGAACCAAUCACUGAGUGUUUCUCAAAAUCUUAAAAGUUUUCUCAGAGUGAAGAAAUGGAGAAUAAAGAGGAAAGAAAAUCUUUCCAUUUUUGCACCUAUUUACUUUCCAAAUCUGUUUAUGUGCUCAUUAUAUCUGAGAAAUAUGUUCCUUUUAUCCACACCUCUAAUUUUAUAAAAAUAUGCAAAAACAUUGUCUUAAAACAUGUUCCUAUAAAGAUUGCAUUGCACUAAACUAAAACAAUUGGAAAAUAAAAUGUUAAUCUUAGAAAUCUGCUUCUGCUUCUUGCAAAAUGUUGAAGGGUGGAGGGUGCAGCAGCUUGAAUUGUUUGUUUUUCUAUGUCAGAUAAUACAUAUAUGGAUAUUAGAAUGAAUAAUGACUUAGUUGAUGAGGUCAGAUCAGAAAAUUCCUGGCUCGACUGCAGGAGGGAAUGGUAAUUUGUAAAAACACACAGACAACCAAUUAAUGCAGUAUUAGUCAUGUGUAGAGUAUCAAUGAAUAUUUACAAUAUAUAGAGAGAAG